CUGGACCUUUUGGCCUGAAGCCGUGGGGGACCCCCAGGAUCCCUGGCUGUCCUUGGCAGUGCCCCCCACAGGUAGGCUGCUCUACCCAAAGGAGGGGGCGGGGGCACCCCAGCCUUGGUGCAGGGCCCCCUGGGCCCUCUGGUUCUCACACAGGGGUACCAGCGGCCGUACCGGACAGUGUCUGCGCGGGUGGGCGAGGACUCCACAAUGCUGCAUCUGCCGGUCGAGGCCUUCUCUGCCGUCUUCGAGAAGUACCCCGAGAGCCUGGUGCGGGUGGGGCAGAUCAUCAUGGUGCGUCUGCAGCGGGUCACCUUCCUGGCCCUGCACAAUUACCUGGGGCUGACUAAUGAACUCUUCAGCCACGGGAGUGAUGGGCCCGGCCCUGGAGCUCCUCCCACGGGAGUGCUGAUCAGCUCAAGCUGGGGUCCCUGGAGCCCUCUGCAGUGCCACUGCUGAGCCGCUGCAUCUCCAUGCCAGUGGAUAGCUCAGGACGUCAGCCUUCACUUCGUGCUGUGGGGCUGCCUACACGUCUACCAGCGCAUGAUUGACAAGGCAGAGGAUAUGUGCCUCUUUCUGCUGCAGCCUGGAGAGAUGGUGGGCCAGCUGGCUGUACUGACGGGGAGCCCCUCAUCUUCACCAUCAAGGCCAACCGUGACUGCACCUUCCUCAAGAUCUCCACGUCGGACAUCUACGAGUUGGUGUCCCCCUUCCCCUCCACAUCCUGUGGGCAGGGUCUGCCCACCUCCCACCCCACUUCCAUCUAGGCUGGUGGCCUGGGUCAGAUUGGGGCCAGUGCUCCCUAGAGGGGAAAGGCACCGUGUCCCAUUCCCCACCCCCAUAAACCAGGUAGUCCCCUGCCCUGGGCUGGAUUGGAGCUGCCUCCCCUAGAUGGGGAAAGGCCCCAUGUCCCAGUCCUCCAAUCGUGCACCUGUUGCAUGGGCCUGGAUUCUCCUGCCCUGGGCUGUGAUCUGUCCUGGUGCCAUGUUUUCUUGGCUGGCUCUGUUCCAGAGGAGGUGGGUGACUCAGGGAGGGGGCGGCUGCAGUCAGCAGCGCACUGGCAGCAACGGGGCCACCUGUGCACGGACAAGCUGCCCGCUCUCUCCCCAGGAUCAUGCGGGAACAGCCCAGUGUGGUGCUGAGUGUUGCCCAUACUGUGGCCGCCUGCAUGUCCCCAUUCGUGCGCCAGAUGGACUUUGCCAUCGACUGGAUGGCAGUGGAGGCCGAACGGGCCUUGUACAGGAGAGUGAGGCCUGUGCUGGGGGGAGGGUGUGUGUGCUGGGAGACCCUGGCUGGGGAACCCCAGUUUCUCCGCCUAGCCCAGGGCACAGCUGGGACCAACUCUCCCUGCUGUGUUUAACCCCUUCUGCGCCAGGGUAACGGGCACCCCUGUUACUCUCAGCCUCGUCUAUGCCCUUCCUGCAGCAAAAAUGACUCAGGCAUCCCAGCGCUCUGGGCGGGCGCUGUCCAGACCAGCAGCCGUGCUGUUUCCAGAGGGGCCAGGCGAGACCUGACCAGCUGCCUGUGACCCCUCCAUGGGACUCAGGUUUUCACCUGGGCUGACCUGACUUCAACCCCUUCCUGGCUGCAGAUGUUGGAUUGAGAGCAGCCCGGGUGCUCUGGGGAUGGGGGUGUCCCAGCCCAGGGCAGGUGCCAGCUGGGGCUGUCAGACUCGCCGCUCAUUGCAUGUGCUCUCCCAGCCGAGGUGGUAGGGGGCGUUCUCCCUGGGGCAGACACCAGCUCAGCAUUCAGACUCACCGCUCACUGCAUGCACUCUCCCAGCCAAUGUGGUAGGGGAUGCUCUAGUUCUAGGGCUGGAGGAACCCAGCCCUGGGGAACCUAGGUCCUGCAGGGUAGCUCCAUUGGGAGGG